AGGGUGUAAACGCUGCAGACUUGGUGUUGGGAACCCUUCGGGGGUGCUCAGUGCCGGAGAGAAGUUGUUAAGUCUGCUACUUGGGGAGUACGUCCGCAAGGAUGAAACUUAAAGGAAUUGGCGGGGGAGCACCACAACGGGUGGAGCCUGCGGUUUAAUUGGACUCAACGCCGGGAAGCUCACCGGAUAAGACAGCGGAAUGAUUGCCGGGCUGAAGACUCUGCAUGACUAGCUGAGAGGUGGUGCAUGGCGUAGACGUCU
rnacentral:rRNA from 1 species